CAAAAAUGUAUAUUAAAGUUAUUUUUACAAUAAUGCAGUGCAAAUAAUAAAAAAUUAGAAAACAGGUGUCUAAUACUAAAUUUUAUCAGCUGGUAAUUCAAGUAUCGAUAAUUGACAUGUUAAAAAUUAUGUCAAAAUCAAAAGAUAAAGGAAGCAGAUAUAUUAAACUGAGCUAGUUAGAAAGUAUUAAAACUAUUGAAGAUUUUUUUUUUUGGUGGACAAAACGUUAAUGAGAGGGAAUUAAAAUUUCGCCGAAGGUCCUUGAAGAAGAACAAACAAAAAUGUAUAUUAAAGUUAUUUUUACAAUAAUGCAGUGCAAAUAAUAAAAAAUUAGAAAACAGGUGUCUAAUACUAAAUUUUAUCAGCUGGUAAUUCAAGUAUCGAUAAUUGACAUGUUAAAAAUUAUGUCAAAAUCAAAAGAUAAAGGAAGCAGAUAUAUUAAACUGAGCUAGUUAGAAAGUAUUAAAACUAUUGAAGAUUUUUUUUUUUGGUGGACAAAACGUUAAUGAGAGGGAAUUAAAAUUUCGCCGAAGGUCCUUGAAGAAGAACAAACAAAAAUGUAUAUUAAAGUUAUUUUUACAAUAAUGCAGUGCAAAUAAUAAAAAAUUAGAAAACAGGUGUCUAAUACUAAAUUUUAUCAGCUGGUAAUUCAAGUAUCGAUAAUUGACAUGUUAAAAAUUAUGUCAAAAUCAAAAGAUAAAGGAAGCAGAUAUAUUAAACUGAGCUAGUUAGAAAGUAUUAAAACUAUUGAAGAUUUUUUUUUUUGGUGGACAAAACGUUAAUGAGAGGGAAUUAAAAUUUCGCCGAAGGUCCUUGAAGAAGAACAAACAAAAAUGUAUAUUAAAGUUAUUUUUACAAUAAUGCAGUGCAAAUAAUAAAAAAUUAGAAAACAGGUGUCUAAUACUAAAUUUUAUCAGCUGGUAAUUCAAGUAUCGAUAAUUGACAUGUUAAAAAUUAUGUCAAAAUCAAAAGAUAAAGGAAGCAGAUAUAUUAAACUGAGCUAGUUAGAAAGUAUUAUAACUAUUGAAGUUUUUUUUUUUGGUGGUCAAAACGUUAAUGAGAGGGAAUUAAAAUUUCGCC